rnacentral:rRNA from 1 species
UACGUAGGGAGCAAGCGUUGUCCGGAAUCAUUGGGCGUAAAGCGCGCGUAGGUGGCCCGGUAAGUCCGCUCUGAAAGUCACAGGCUCAACCUGUGAAAGCGGGUGGAUACUGCCGGGCUAGAGUCCGGAAGAGGCGAGUGGAAUUCCUGGUGUAGCGGUGGAAUGCGCAGAUAUCAGGAGGAACACCAACGGCGAAGGCAGCUCGCUGGGACGGUACUGACACUGAGGCGCGAAGGCGUGGGAAGCAAACAGG